GACGAACGCUGGCGGCGUGCCUAAUACAUGCAAGUUGAGCGCUGAAGGUUGGUACUUGUACCAACUGGAUGAGCAGCGAACGGGUGAGUAACGCGUGGGGAAUCUGCCUUUGAGCGGGGGACAACAUUUGGAAACGAAUGCUAAUACCGCAUAAAAACUUUAAACACAAGUUUUAAGUUUGAAAGAUGCAAUUGCAUCACUCAAAGAUGAUCCCGCGUUGUAUUAGCUAGUUGGUGAGGUAAAGGCUCACCAAGGCGAUGAUACAUAGCCGACCUGAGAGGGUGAUCGGCCACAUUGGGACGGGGACACGGCCUAAACUCCUACGGGAGGCAGCAGUAGGGAAUCUUCGGCAAUGGACGAAAGUCUGACCGAGCAACGCCGCGUGAGUGAAGAAGGUUUUCGGAUCGUAAAACUCUGUUGGUAGAGAAGAACGUUGGUGAGAGUGGAAAGCUCAUCAAGUGACGGUAACUACCCAGAAAGGGACGGCUAACUACGUG
rnacentral:rRNA from 1 species